CGAACGGGUGAGUAACACGUGGGCAACCUGCCCAAAAGAGGGGGAUAACACUUGGAAACAGGUGCUAAUACCGCAUAACCAUAGUUACCGCAUGGUAACUAUGUAAAAGGUGGCUAUGCUACCGCUUUUGGAUGGGCCCGCGGCGCAUUAGCUAGUUGGUGGGGUAAAGGCUUACCAAGGCAAUGAUGCGUAGCCGAACUGAGAGGUCGAUCGGCCACAUUGGGACUGAGACACGGCCCAAACUCCUACGGAAGGCAGCAG
rnacentral:rRNA from 1 species